AACGAACGCUGGCGGCAGGCUUAACACAUGCAAGUCGAGCGCCCCGCAAGGGGAGCGGCAGACGGGUGAGUAACGCGUGGGAACCUACCUGAAGGUACGGAACAACUCCGGGAAACUGGAGCUAAUACCGUAUGUGCCCGAAAGGGGAAAGAUUUAUCGCCUUCAGAUGGGCCCGCGUCAGAUUAGCUAGUUGGUGGGGUAAUGGCCCACCAAGGCGACGAUCUGUAGCUGGUCUGAGAGGAUGAUCAGCCACACUGGGACUGAGACACGGCCCAGACUCCUACGGGAGGCAGCAGUGGGGAAUAUUGGACAAUGGGCGCAAGCCUGAUCCAGCCAUGCCGCGUGAGUGAUGACGGCCUUAGGGUUGUAAAGCUCUUUCGACGGGGACGAUAAUGACGGUACCCGUAGAAGAAGCCCCGGCUAACUUCGUGCCAGCAGCCGCAGUAAGAC
rnacentral:rRNA from 1 species